rnacentral:rRNA from 1 species
UUCGGUGGUCAUUGCGUUAGGGAAACGCCCGGUUACAUUCCGAACCCGGAAGCUAAGCCUUUCAGCGCCGAUGGUACUGCAGGGGGGA